rnacentral:lncRNA from 1 species
AGAGAGUAUUUGAAACUCACAGAAACUGAUAUAAUGUAUAUUAUAUGAUAUUACAGGGGAUAGAAGUCUUUAUGACACGGUUGCCCUCUCUUGGACAUCAUGGGGAAAGUGUGUGUGUGUGUGUGUGUAAAUUUGACCUUGUGUUUAUAGUAUGAUGGCAUCCUUUGUUGAAGGUUUACUUCUCAAGGGACAUAUGAAUUAGUUUUGUACUCACAUAAUCAGUGGUGACAUGGUGACAGGAUCUAAGACUUGCCCUAGGGUUAACAGACUUUGUUUCCAUGUAUUUUGAUUGCAGCAGCUGCUAACGAGUUCUACAAAGUUGCAAAAUCACACGGCUAUAGUGAUGAGGACUUUUCAACAAAUAUUUCAUGUAGAUGGUCAUUCUCUAAACCAGUUUUAUUUUGAUUUGUUCUUGCAUACCAUACUUGUUACACAUUUUGUACAAUAUAAGCACUUAAUUUGAAAUGUAAAUUAUGCCUCAGUUUUACUAUGCACAUUAAUGUAUUAUUUAUUUAUGUAGUUGAUAAAUAGUUUUAAAAAAUUCAGAUUUUN